GGGCCGGCUAGUGUCGAGCCUAACCCAACUCUAGAGCCCACGGUACUAGCCCUAGCCCAUCCCAGGCCCUAAUGGGCUAAAGAGGCCCUAGCAUUGGCCCUCACCUCUGGUUGAGCCGGCUAGGGCUAGGCUAUGGGUUAGGGUCGGCCCUAUAAGUUAAAGAUAAGUUACAUGUUUGCUAUGUGUAUAAUUGGUAUGCAAUUGGUGUGUUUAUGAACUUCACACUCUUCCAGAUAAUCAAAGUUUUUCUAUGGCACAAAUGUCAAAUAAGAUCAUUCAUCAACCAAGCAUAUGCCCCACCCAAUUAUCCACCAUAUGCAUGGAUUUUUAAAUAAGUGCAUCAAUACAAUGGUCGCCGUCUGAAUGGGGUCCACAUUUUGCACAGCUUUUAGUGCUUGUGUAUCGUCAAUCACACUUUGCCUUACCUUAAGGGCCUGUUUGAUUAUCCCAACUACCGCAAAUUGGAAGUAAAUACAACACUUAUGCCUUUCUCCCGCUGUUUGAAUAUCGACGACCUCAGCUGUUAUUCAGCCCUCCAAAAACAAGCUGAUAUCGUCGUAUCUCUACCCGUAUCGCUCGACACUUGAGCAUAAUCCCCGCAGGGGAUUUGACAAGAAGUUGGUGUGCAGGUGAACAGACUUGAAAUAUUUAUGGUGGUCCGCAAGAGUGCGUAUUUACAUAUUCUACACCUGAUUUCUAUAAACAGGCUCCAUUCGUACAACUCCUUCCUGGGCUUCUCUUCCUUGAGGAUGUCAACAAAUGUGGCUGCCGAUCCUUCCCACCACAGAUGUACAAGCAGUUGAUCCCGUCGGCAAUGUCAUGUGUAACGCUGUAGCUACGUCCGGUACCCACCAGCAUGGAGGACGACGAUCGCUAUUCCGCCAGUCCUCGCCUCCUUGAAGUCUGUUGGCAGUGUGCGACACAACAUGAAGAUCUUCUUUAAUCGGUGUCCUUCAACUCCAGCAACAACAUUCCGACUGUGAGAUAGGCACCGAUCGAAUAUAAUGCAUUCCAGCACGAUUUUUGAGUCAUUCUCCUUUUUUAUUUCUAAACUUAAUGGGAUCUAUAUUUGCUGAAAUUUCCUAUCCAACCAUUUCGUAAUAAAAUGGGUCUUCGUAUGGUGUCUAUGCAGUAGACAUUGUUUGGACUCUAUGUUAUGAUGUCUCCAUGAACAACAUCUGCAAAUGGGAUCUAUAAGACCCCUAUGGUGUACAGAUCUCAGUCACUACUGUUUAACAAAACCAGCAUGUUGUUCCAAAUGAAUAUUAUAUAAUAUGAUUGGUCUGUGUACUAUUCUUACAAUGUAACCACUUGAUUGGCCAGAGAGGUAUGCAUGAAGGGAAAAUACAUAUUAUAAACCCAAAUCCAACAGGUUCGAGUCCUUCGGCAAAAAUUCCAAAUUGGUAUAACUGAUGCUUUGGCUAGUAUGCCUCGGGAGAUAUGGAAUGUUCUGAAAAGUCCAUUUUUCUGGAUGUUUUGGAACACAAGUAUCGUUCAUCUUCCACCUUCGGGCCCCAAAUAUUGCAUAACCAUUGGGGUAUUGAUGGUAUGGAUCUCCAGAUCAUCUCCAUAUGUGGGUACCAAUGGGCACACCGAAGGAGAAUUUGUACAACUAGGAAGAUCAAGUUGUUUUGCGUGGUCUUUGUGGUUGUAAUUGGGGUAAGAGGGUCUAUCGUAGGUGGGUUAGUUGAGACGGAGGAUUCAAUGGGGAGGGCUCGACCCGUGAUUCUAGGGCCCACCAUGAUUUAUGUAUUUAGAUCACACUGUCUAUCCUUUGUAUCAGACAAUUGUAAGGGUUGAGCCGAGAAAUAAAACAUAUCCAGGGCUCAUUUAGACCACACCAAAGCCAACAGUGUUAUGUGAAAGUCUACUGUUGAAAACUUCCUGGGGGCCACAAGGGUGCUAGAUGAAUCUGACAUUUGUGUAAUCCCUUCAUCCAUGUCUGCGUGAUCUUAUGAGCAGUUUGGAUGACAAAUAUACCUCACUGUGGACCUUAGGAAGUUCCAACGGUUUUAAUCAUUAUUCCCACUGUUACAUGUGAUAUGGUCCACUUGAGCCCUGGAUAUGCAUCAAUUUUGGGUGUAGUACCAUAAAAUGGAGGGUGGAUAAAUAGAUGGACAAUGUGGAUAAACCACAUACAUUCGAGGAGCACAAUAGAGCUACGAUACAUUCGGUUCACUCAGCUGAAACAUGAUACGAGUGAUGCUACCACACCAUUGACCAUGAACAUACCCGCAUGGAUGUAUACACAAACAUUUUGUUCUAGUAUGUUUCCAAAUUCCGUUCCAUUGAAAUUAUGAUUAUAUUUUGUGAUUGAAUGUCGGUUCCGAUGGCGAUAUAAAUGUACCGUCAACUUGGUUAUACAUAUAUACUAGAAACACUGAACAACAAUAGGAGUCAACUCCUUCGGGAAUAUGGUAGCGUGUCUACUGUUGGAUUGGAAGCUGACAAAAAUUUAUUGCAUUUCUUUUACAAGAAAACAACAUAACAUGCCUGAACAUGGAUGGACAGAAGAGGAGAUGGCUGCAUUUGCAGCUACCGCUUCUACUGCAACGGUAGUUGUUGCGGUGGGGGAGUAUUGCCGCAGCCAUUUACUUUGCAAUCCAUGGAAGAGUGGGGAUAUGGAACGAGCCCGCAUAAUAAAUGGGAUUAUUAGAGCCUGGGAUAAUGAGUGCAAGGAGUAGUUGAGAAUGAACAAGGCUACUUUCAUCCACUUAUGCACCUUUCUUCGAUAUCACAAUGCACUACCUGAUGGGAAGCACCUUAGUAUGGAGGAACAACGGGUCAUGUUCUUCCAUAUAGUAGGUCAUAAUGUGCGCAAUGGUGUAAUUGGCCAUCGGUUCAAAAGGUCGGAGGAGACAGUGAGCCGAUAUUUCUUGAGGGCACUAGAUGUCAUCAUCUCAUUAUAUCCUGAGUUCGUGAAGCUUCCUAGCCCAAAAACACCACCAGAAAUAUCAUCGAACUCUAAUAGGAGCACAUAUUUUCUGAUAUGACCAGCUACAUAUAAGUUAAUUCAAAUUUGAUACUACCUGCCUAUCUUAUACACUAGAUAUUCAGCUAAUGCAUAAUUAAACAUAGGACUGUAUUGGCGCGACUAACGGAACACACAUACCUGCAUACAUCCCUAUGUUGGAGAGUAGGACGUACCAUAAUCGGAAAGGGAUUAUAUCACAAAAUGUUACAGAUUCUUACAUUUUUGAUAUGAAGUUCGCAUAUGUGCUUGCCAGAUGGGAGGGUUCCGCAUCCGAUGCACGCGUAUUACAAAGUGCCCUCACACAUCAUCAUGAUCAACUGACUAUACCAUCUAGUAUUGUGUCAAAUUGUUCGUCAUUUAGCCGUAUUUGUAGUGCUUUGUGUUGGAGCUAAUUCUUAAGUUGUUAAUAAUCUGUGUAGAAAAAUACUAUGUGGUAGAUA